rnacentral:rRNA from 1 species
UGCAAGUCGAACGAUGACCCGGAGCUUGCUCUGGUGAUUAGUGGCGAACGGGUGAGUAACACGUGAGUAACCUGCCCUUCACUCUGGGAUAAGCACUGGAAACGGUGUCUAAUACCGGAUACGAGCUUCCGCCGCAUGGUGAGGAGCUGGAAAGAAUUUUGGUGGGGGAUGGACUCGCGGCCUAUCAGGUAGUUGUUGAGGUAAUGGCUCACCAAGCCGACGACGGGUAGCCGGCCUGAGAGGGUGACCGGCCACACUGGGACUGAGACACGGCCCAAACUCCUACGGGAGGCAGCAGUGGGGAAUAUUGCACAAUGGGCGAAAGCCUGAUGCAGCAACGCCGCGUGAGGGACGACGGCCUUCGGGUUGUAAACCUCUUUUAGUAGGGAAGAAGCGAAAGUGACGGUACCUGCAAAAAAAGCACCGGCUAACUACGUGCCAGCAGCCGCGGUAAUACGUAGGGUGCAAGCGUUGUCCGGAAUUAUUGGGCGUAAAGAGCUCGUAGGCGGUUUGUCGCGUCUGCUGUGAAAUCCGGAGGCUCAACCUCCGGCCUGCAGUGGGUACGGGCAGACUAGAGUGCGGUAGGGGAGAUUGGAAUUCCUGGUGUAGCGGUGGAAUGCGCAGAUAUCAGGAGGAACACCAAUGGCGAAGG